UUUCGAUUGUAGCAUUUCUCCUUUCAGGAUACAGUACAGGAUCCUUUCUGGAAUGGAGGUCUUAUGAGCUGCUAUCGAACACGGCAGAGCCUGUUGGUGACCUGCACACAGGAGCCCUCCAGUCAGUACUGAUUGAAUUACUCAAGGCUGCCUCUCUGCAAAGUUGAGCACCUGAGACUUUUACCUUUACCCAGAAAGGAAUAAAAGAGGUCAGAUGAUGACAGCUGUGUCCUUAACAACCAGGCCCCAGGAAUCAGUGGCUUUUGAGGACGUGGCUGUGUACUUCACUACGAAGGAAUGGGCCAUCAUGGUGCCUGCCGAGAGGGCCUUGUACAGGGAUGUGAUGCUGGAGAACUAUGAGGCUGUGGCCUUUGUAGUGCCACCCACUUCCAAACCAGCUUUGGUCUCUCAUCUGGAGCAAGGGAAAGAGUCCUGUUUCACCCAGCCGCAGGGAGUCCUAAGCAGGAAUGACUGGAGAGCAGGCUGGAUAGGCGUCUUGGCUCCGGAGAAGGCUGCGUGGCAAGAGGCGGCCAGUGAUAGCGUUCUGCCUCUUGAUGAUC
rnacentral:sRNA from 1 species